CCAUCGUUGAUUUUGCAUGUCAGUUUCUAAGCUGAUAUCACCAACUAUGACUCUGACAUACAAUGAAGCAGUCGAGGGCCAUGAGGCUUUUCUGACUGAGGCAACACAGCCUGGAGCCCAAAUCCCGAGGCUGUGCACCAAAGUCCUUCCGUUUGUCACUGGUGAGCAGAGUCUGACCUGAAAGUCUGGACCUGAUCUCUCAGUGAAGGCAAAACCACUUGACCUCUGAUUUUGAACUGCAAUUGUAGCUAAUGCUGCUAUUGAUUUAAAAAUCUAGUUCAAUAUGUGAAAAAAUACACUCUUCAAUCUCCUGGAACAUUCUGUCUCAGAGAGGACCAUGUCUACACGUCAAAGGAAAGACCAGAUCCUGGUGCUUUCCCACAAGAAGUUGCUCAAUGUGGCUACCAGGCAG
ensembl:lncRNA